UCGAGAAUCUUCCACAAUGGGCGAAAGCCUGAUGGAGCGACACCGCGUGCAGGAUGAAGGCCCUAGGGUUGUAAACUGCUGUCACGCUAUAGGAACCCACGGUCGUUAAUAGCUUCCGUGCUGACCAAAGCGAGAGGAAGCGCCGGCUAACUCCGUGCCAGCAGCCGCGGUAAUACGGAGGGCGCAAGCGUAGUUCGGAUUUACUGGGCAUAAAGAGCACGUAGGCGGCUCGCUCAGUCGGGUGUGAAAGCCCACGGCCCAACCGUGGAACUGCACCCGAUACUGGCGAGCUCGAGGACGGAAGGGGUGAGUGGAACUCCAGGUGGAACGGUGAAAUGUAUAGAUAUCUG
rnacentral:rRNA from 1 species